UACGUAGGGUCCGAGCGUUGUCCGGAAUUACUGGGCGUAAAGGGCGCGUAGGCGGCCUGUUAAGUCGAACGUGAAAUCCCCGGGCUCAACCCGGGAACUGCGUCCGAUACUGGCAGGCUUGAAUUCGGGAGAGGGAUGCGGAAUUCCAGGUGUAGCGGUGAAAUGCGUAGAUAUCUGGAGGAACACCGGUGGCGAAGGCGGCAUCCUGGACCGAGAUUGACGCUGAUGCGCGAAAGCCAGGGGAGCAAACGGG
rnacentral:rRNA from 1 species